rnacentral:lncRNA from 1 species
GUAAAAUAUGAUAAUAGUUAUCAUUGGGAAUUUAUACCUUUACAUGAUAUAUUUUGGUACUUAGUUUUUUCCAUUCCCCUGCCUUCUCUUUUACCCCUCCACCCUUUCCUACUUACAAAGACUUUGUCUCCAUUAAGAAACACUGCUAAAUCCAAUGUUAGGAAUUUCUCCUAUUGUAUGUUUUUUCUAAGUGCUUUAUAGUUUUAGCCCUCAUACUUAGGUCAUUGAUCUAUUGUGAGUUAAGCUUUAUAUAUGAUAUAGAGUAGAAGCUUCCCUGUUCUUUUUCUAUCAUCUAGGCAAACAGAAAUACAUUCACACAAAAUAAAUUGCUGUCUCCAAGGCUCUGUUGUCUCUUAUACUUACAAUGACUUUCUCUACUUAUAUCUCCACCUGGGCUUGUAUCAUGUCAGCCAUAUGUUGUACCAAGUCUACCAUUCAAUUUGGCUUAAGCACCUGUGUCUUCCUCACAAAAUUAAAAGAAAUAAUCUGUCUUUUCUCUGAACUCCCAUGACCUGUUUUAUAGCACCAAUUCAUACAAUUUUCACUUAACUAACCAAUUAUCCACAUAUUCAAAAAUAAUUAUUGGACACUUUCUCUGUUAAGUACUCUAUAGCCUUUUCAAACUGUUACAUAUGAUAUAGUUUUCAAGAUAUCUUCUUUCUUCUAGUGAUGUGAAAGUUUUAAAACAAAGGAACACCAUGUGUGAUCUUUCCAUCCUUCAGAGGUCUCAGCCUCUCAGUUCUCCAGCGUUUGAAAAGGAGGUACAUAGAAGGAGCCUGCCGCCGUGGAGACGUUUUGUUUCAAACCUUUGCCCACUGUUGACUGUGUCUGAGCCCCAGGAUCUCUCUCCAUGGUUUGAGGACCAACACAACCUAACAGACUGGGAUUGAAGGAUUAAAUACAACGAGAAACAUCAAAUUUACCCUCCCCAUGCAGGAUGUUUACGAGUUGAGUUGAGCAUCUAAGUCUGUUUCUUGAUAUGCUCAUGAAAGAUGUAGCCUAGCUUAUAGGGCUGCUGGCUAAAUUCCUGCCCUCCCUUCUCAGAUAUUUAGGCCACAUCUCAGCACUGAACCUCACUUGGGCUAUCUUGUGUACUCUGUAUCUGUCACAAUGUGCAUCUCUUCCUGAGACAGCUUUCCUUCCAGAGUGCAGUGGUCUGGAGAAGGGUCGAGAAAUAAGGACACAAAUAUCUAGAAAACCGAGUUACUGCUUAGCAUGGUGAUGCAUGCUUGUAAUCCCAGCUACUCAGGAGGACAAGGCAGGAGGAUCACAAGUUUUGAGACCAGCCUGGGCAAAUAGCUGGAUUCUGUCUCAAAAUCAAAGAGGGCUGGGGAUGUAGGUUAGUGUUAGGAAUGCCUCUGGGUUCAUUCUGCAGUCCUGAAAAAUAAUUAAAUUACUGAAAAUCACUGGAGUAUACAUAAUGGUAGCAUGAUUGUACAAUAUGGUCAGUGUCAUCAUUAAAAUAAUCUUCAAAUACAUAUGAGAUUUUUCCCUGUAAUGUUAAGACUACGGAUGUAACAAUUUUUGUGUGGCAAUGGCC